AAUGCGCUUUGACUACCGUGCAGUAGGCUCUGUGCACCGGCUAAGCUAUGUGCAUACACGUAGCCCAGCACACGCUUGCGUGUUGAAUGUCAUGUUGAAACGUACGUUUUUGCUUCUGCCCACAGUCGGCGUGUUUACACUAGUAGAUCCUAUGGAUCCAUGUGCAGCCAGCUAUGUGGACGGCUUGGUUGGCGUGCAGCUGAGGAGGCUGUACGGGUGACCUAAACUCUCUAAAGGAGAUUUAAACAACAAGAGAUGUGUUUGCUUUUUUCACGUGUAUAAAUAGCAGGCUAAGAGUUGAGGCUGGUAAUAUUCUGAGUGGCCAACUUGUUACAUCGUUCACAUAUACUGAAGUGAAACGGUGUAUAUGUUGCUCCGCUUUCGUUACAAUAGCAGCGAGAAUACAACAGCCCUUGCCGUCGGGGGCAGGCGUCACUUAAACCAAGCUGGAGUUUCAUGUCAUAUCUGAGAAUUUAAGCCCUCGCAGUCGAGUGCUUCCAGUGGGCCUCAGCGAGACACGCAUAGGCUUGACAAUCGAGUCAAAAUGGAGGACUGUGAGAGUGAAGGGCCUGGUGGAGCAUGCCGCCUGCCAGCAGGAAGUGGGCGAAUCAACUGUUGCACAAGCUUUUAGAAAUGCAAACUGCACAUUUGAACGUUUUCUCCUUCUUCACUGGAUUUCUGUGAGCUUCGUUCUGUGAAAUAUUACCCAAAGUGACCAUUCGAGCCCAUGGCAAAGCUAGGAGUCAGUAAACAGCAGUGCAACUGCUUGGUAGUAGUGAAGGACUUGCAGAUUGUACACGUGGCGGCAGCACCGACCUCAUUUUUUUUAGAAAAUGGCUUCUCAUAGGCUACAGUGAGCGGACGGGGCUCUCCGCUCAUACUGAUCAUAGGAGCACAAGGUCCUCAUGUUUUUUCACAGCUCAACACUUUUCGUCUUCUUCCAGUGGGCUUUGUCUGCUAGGCUGAAUUCAAAGAGGAGCAGCCUGCUAGAGUGAAGUGGACGCUUUUCGGUUGUCCUCGCCGCUUAAACCAGGGAAAUACUUUCUCGCUUUAUGACAAAAUUAAAAAUUCACACCAUAAGGUGACGUACAGUCUCGACCAAGUUUUUCAGUUCCGAGUGAAAGGCCUACCGUUUCGUAAGGUGAUCUGCAAUGAUCUGUAUGUUAUUUCAGGGACCAGUUUGUGGCGGAUAAACACGUUUACAGUUAUUUUUUCUAGACUCUAGGGCCAAGUGUACAUUAUGAUUCUGAAACACCUUCGCUGAAAAAGCCUCUUCAGUAAAAUAUUUGCUUAAAUGUGA